ensembl:lncRNA
CUGUGGGAUACUGUUAGUCCGUGAUUUGAACCAGGGAAAGAAAUCGUGGCAGGAUCAGCCUGAUAUUAUUUGUAUCCUGCUGUAACUUUACUGUAUACAGAGCUAACAUCUCCAAAAUGUCAGGAGUAGUUAGUCAUUACAAGUGUUUGUGAACUAAAAAUCAAGAAUGUGGAAUACUAUUUGUCCGUGAUUUGGAGAGCCCAGCGCUGCUCCCGAUGAAGGGAAAACCAAUUCUGCAGGGGAGACCUACCUCGGCACUUGUGCAGGUGAAACCAAAGGGAAGAUUUGCUUCACCAUAUUUUCUAGUCUUUGGCUUAGAAUGAAAUUGGUUUGGAAACAUUCAGCUAUGCUUCAUCUCCUGCUUUGCGUUUGUGUGGGCGCCCCGUGCUAGCAGUGUCCAAGCGUUUUGGGUUUUUUUCCCUUUUCAUACAUUUUUACCCAGACAACUUUCUCUCACCGGAUAUUUUAUUUUUUUCUUCCCGGUCUUUGUAAAUCAUAGAGAUGGCUAUGUGGGAAAAAACUACAGUUCAUCGCAAAUGAAGUGGCUGGUGACUGAUGGGUUUUUGUUUUGUUUUGUUUUUUUAACACCUAUGGGACACAAUCACAAUUUGUGUUUUCCACUUCUGUCCUGUCUUUAUUGUAGAUGCUUUUGAAAACUCAUGCGUGUCAACACGGGGUUGAUUUUACAGAAUGUUUCACUCGAUAUAUUAAAGAGAACAAUUUAAACAGUGAAGUGCACAAAACUAAAUGGCAUCACACAUAUUUUCACUUUUUUUGAUUUUGAAGAUUUAUGUCUUCUGACUUAGAGAUGAGCGCUACAGAGAGUAUGGAAAUCAAUAAGUAUGGAGAGUCAGAUAAACACGUUGUUGCACUGUUUCCUUGCUGAGAGCUGUGAUUUCUGUAAUUCCUGUAAUCACCGUGAGAUGGACAAACAUGCAGCAAAGAACUUUUCCAGCACAGAACACCUCAUGAAAUCACAAUCUGGCUUUUACUCACAGUUGUUGUUGCCUGCCUACCACUCUGUAAGUUAAAUAUUUAGGUAGAUUAAACCUAGGGCAGCUAUUUGGUGUCCAGGGUAAAAGAUGUUGCUUUUGUGGGCUAACCACACACAGAAAGCAGAAAGCAUACUGGCUUGAAGUAAGUUCAAGUAACUGUUGUAUUCAUGGUGUCCUCCUACAUUCUCAGCUCUUCUUUGCUCAUGCUUCCUUAUCCUGGCUCAUCUUCU